rnacentral:sRNA from 1 species
CUGACACACUGGUUUGGGUGAAUGAUAGAUACAUUUAAAGAGGCCUCAGAAGCAUGGGGCUGUAGGCUGGGAGACUGGGUAUUUUUCCAUUAUUGUAAUAAGUCCGUUUCGCUCCCCUGUUUAGGCAGGAUAGAUGGCUGUGAUUCCUGCGGACAAAGACGAAGAUCGAUGCUGAAUUAAGGCUGCAGCAAGCCCUUUUGUCAUCCUGCAGGCAGGAGGAGUCCGGGAAGCUCACUUAUCUGGAUAAGAAGACCGUUUGAGAUUAGAAGCAUGAUGACGUUUAAGUAGAAGAAGCACUCGAGAGGAUGAUCAGCUGUCCCUCAGAGUAGCCUUCUCAGCAGCUACAUCCAUAGUCUCGGGGACAUGGGCAAAUGAUGCAGAGCCCGCCGGCUUCAUCAGUUCUGCCUGGACCUCUCAUCUCCCUGCAGCUGCGUUUCCGUGUGGCAUGGAGGUUGGGCUCCAGGGAAGGAAGGCUCCUGCAUCUCUGAGAACAUCAUUACCUCCACUCACCUCCACUCGCAUACUCCUUCCAGUGCUAACCUCGUUUGUUUGGAUGAUGACAUCAUCUCUGUCAAUGGGAAGCAGCUCUGUGCCUCAGUUUAUCACUCACACAAUGAAAGGGCUACGGCAUAGCACCCGACAAUUUAAGGCAUCUGUCUACUUACUUGGUGUGUCUGUGUAUCACAGCACACGUGUGGAGGUCAGAGAAGAACUUGAGUGAGCUCAUCUUCUAGCAUGCGAGUCCCUAGAGAUGGAGCUCAAGUAGUCAGACCAGGUAGAAAGUUUCACGUUUUCACAAGAUAUCGUGCCGCCCCCAGUGUAUAGUCUUUAAGGGUUCUUAACCUGGGAGGUGGUGGUUACAGCCUUUGCAGAUGGCAAACCAGAUGGGGGAGUCACCUGCUUCAUAAACUGGCUCAAACUUGCAGGACCCCGCACAGGUUACUAUCUGAGGCCUGCAAUUUGGGAUUUCUUUAGAACGGGCACACAAACUUACACACAAAAGGACAACAAUACCAGUGCCUCCCUCUGUGUCUCUGUGGCUGUCAUUCAGGAGUCACCCCAGUGGAUUUCUCAAGCUCUCACAUCCCAGGAGUUCACUGGACUUUCAGAUCUCUGAACUGAGCGGGGCAUCCUCUAAGUUGACUUAGAAGGUAUGGUGCCUGCAGUGGCUGAGGGAUUUUUGAUAGAGACCCCCCACCCAGGUAAAGUUGGGGGGUCCCCCAAACACAGAACGAAUCUCAGGGAGACUCUAUAAAAAGCGGAGUUGGAAUGUAUCGACGAGAGACUCCGAUAUAUAUGUAAGGACGGGGGUUUGUAGAAGAGAAGUGCUUAGAGUGAUAAGAUGACAUAGUCAAGUGUGUGCAUGGGCUUCGAGGGAGAUGCUUCCCCCUAAGGGUCUUAGCUAUAGGUGCAUGCAGGGCCUGGGGGGGCAUUGAAGCUACUGUGCUCAAGGGACCAUCAUCCUGCCCCCUUACCUUCUUUACUGUCUUCUAUAAAUGAGAUAAUACAAAGGCUCCAGACUUCCUGGGUUGGAUUUGUACUGUGAUAAGGUCACAGGGUACCAUGGUGGACUUGAGAUCUGACUUUUUAUUCACCAGAAAACUUUAGGUGGUCACAUAUGUUUAGGCUUUAGGCAUGGCUCAUCGCUACCUUAAAGAUUACAUUUCGGGACUGGAGACAUGGCUCAGCGGUUAAGAGCACUGACUGCUCUUCCAGAGGUCCUGAGUUCAAAUCCCAGCAACCACAUGGUGGCUCACAACCAUCUGUAAUGAGAUCUGAUGCUCCCUUCUGAUAUGUCUAAAAACAGCUACCAAGCUACC